rnacentral:rRNA from 1 species
UAAUACGUAUGGUGCGAACGUUAUUCGGAAUUACUGGGCAUAAAGGGCGCGUAGGCGGUUUGGUAAGUCUGUAUGUGAAAUCCCUCGGCUUAACCGAGGAACUGCAUCGGAUACUGCCAGACUAGAGUGCAGGAGGGGAGGGCGGAAUUCCUGGUGGAGCGGUGAAAUGCGUAGAUAUCAGGAGGAACGCCAGUGGCGAAAGCGGCUCUCUGGCCUGCAACUGACGCCGAGGCGCGAAAGCUAGGGGAGCAAACGGGAUUAGAUACCCCGGUAGUCCUAGCCCUAAACGAUGGGCACUAGGCAGAGGAAGUUUUAGAGCUUUCUCUGCUGUAGCUAAUGUAUUAAGUGCCCCGCCUGGGGAGUAUGGUCGCAAGGCUA